AAGGGCACCACAAGAACGCGUGGAGCAUGUGGCUUAAUUUGACUCAACGCGGGAAAUCUUACCGGGUCCGGACACACUGAGGAUUGACAGGUUUAUAUAGUAAAAUGACUUGCUUAUUUUAUCAUAAAAUAUGCUAGUCCUUUCAUGAUUGUGUGAUAGGUGGUGCAUGGCCGUUCUUAGUUCGUGGAGUGAUCUGUCUGCUUAAUUGCGUUUCACAAGCGGUAAAAAAAAGGUUGACCACAUUCCAACGUGCACUUCGGUGUAUUGCUUGGGUGUACUUCCUAAAAAAAACCGCGAAGGCAACGAACGUGACCGCAUCCCGUUGUUGCCUCUCUAACCAUAAUACUUGUGUGUACGAUCUACUGUGUACUUCGGUAUAUCAGUAGCGUCUCAUAAUGUAUAGUAGAGGGAAACUACGGGGACUGCUGAUUUCUUUUCAAAACAGAGGAAGGAUGCGGCAAUAACAGGUCUGUGAUGCCCUUAGAUGUUCCGGGCUGCACACGUGCUACAAUGAUUAGUGCAGUAAGAAUCUUCAACAGCUUAGAAACUUUUGCGCGAACAGCUUUAUUCUUCGGAAUGGGUUGCGAGCCUUUAGUUUUACCUCGCCUACUUCGAAAGUAAGCAGGUAAUCAAUUCGAAGUACUGAUUUCCAUUUCAAGCGCAUGUAUGAGCACAUAUUUUAUUGCACUUGUGUAGUGAAUAUGUGUUUUGCCUUAAUUUUUUAUUUCUUGGUGGGGACAGACCCUUGUUAAUUAUUGGUCUCGUUUCAACUAGGAAUGCCUUGUACGGGUCUUUGGUUCAACAAACCACCGAUGAUAUGUCCCUGCCCUUUGUAC
rnacentral:rRNA from 1 species